rnacentral:lncRNA from 1 species
GAGAACUAAGAAAUAAAACUGAUGUCGUGGAAGCUUGCUCAAAAGAUCAUCAGAUCAGUGAUUUUCGGGCUCAGUUUCACGUUACCCUUCUCUAUCAAACAACCAAUUUAAACAGCUCCAAUCCACAACCAAUAUAUUUAUCUCGGUUGCUUCUCAAUCUCACCCAUAAAGAAUAUGAUAAUGGUGAUGAUUUAUAGCCAUAAAGGCAAGAAGAAAAACCAAUGAAAGAGGCACAAAAGGAGACCAAAGACACAAAGAAGCCAUCAGUUUUGGAAGCACAAAGCAGUCGAAUUUUCUUCACGAUAUGGAAGCCACGUUUGCCAAGAUUCAAAGCCAUACAAGAGGAAAUAAUACGGAUCGGGUAGAGCCUUUGGACUUGGUUGUUGGUAAUUAAUUCACUAUUGGCCGAGGCCUAUGAAGUUAAAUUCCGACGUUUAAUAUCAUUGCCCUAGAUUUAUUGGGUAAAUAAUUGACAAUAUUUUAUAGAUGAAUAAGUCGAAGUUCUUAUAGAAAAUCUUUAAAAACCCACAAAAGAUCAGAUUUGAGGAAAGUCUAAAGAUGUCAACAAAAUGGAGCAAUAUAAACCAUCUUCACAGCAAUUUACUCUCUCAUAGAAAAAGGGACUCAAAGAGAAAAAUGCCACACCUAAAGGGGCAUGAGAACACAGGAAAACCCUAUACUAACCGGCUUUUUUGCCAUGAAUUUAUAGAGAGAAAACAGAUUCUCAAAGAGAGAAACAAGAGCGUAACAAGGUAAGCCAGUAGCCGGUCAUGGGUUCCUUCCAAACUGGCUGUUUCGACAGGUUUCUAGGCAAGUUUGUAACUUAAGGUUUUAAAAGUUAAUCGGACCGGUUCUCGAUUUUUAGGGGUGAACCUGCUGGUCCAAUCCGAUUUUUAAAAUAUUGGUUUCAACUGCAUCAGAUUAUAAAAACCUUAGUGGCCUUUAGGUUAGAGAGACUAUUUAGUUCCAAAAUAUUAACCCGAGAACACUCACCUCUCACCUCUUUCCAUCUUCUGCCCUCCUAUGCAUUCCAAUAAGUUAAUCACUUUUCUUAAUUUUGUCGAAAUAAUUAGAUGGAUUCCUAUUAGUUAUAGAAUAAGAGAUUUGCCAAAUUUUAGGUUACUUAUUUAAUACAAAAGGAGAAUGAUAUGAAAAUAAAUUAGCCAAAACCAGAGGUGAUAAAAAACUAGAAACACAAUCAAUUAAACUUAGUUUAUCAGGGAAUAUAAUAGCUAAAGAGGCUGGCUUGCGGCCACUUUGGUCCACCAUGGGAGUAAAGUGACAGGAGCCAGAACUCAUCUCUAACAUUAAUGUAUGAUAUUAUACACGAUAGUAGCGCUGGACUUUGUAAAUCUCGUCUCUCCCCAUUCUCUCUCUAAUCUAUCUUUCUUCUGUCUGUCUCUUCCUUUCUCCUCUCUUAUCCCCUCUUUCCCUUCUUCCUCAAUGGUUCUAUUGGUUGCCACAAGCAAUUCUUGAAGAUGAUGGCUAAAGGUAUGUAUAAUUGUAUCUUAUCUCGAAUUAUUCACGUACAAUUCUUGAUAUGCUAGAAGAUUUCAACUGAUAUUUAUUUCUUUCUUGCUUACUUAAAAAUGUUAAAAGUUACCUAACCCUUUGAUAAAUCAAUUAAUUUAAGGUGAACAUUAUUCUUUCUCCUUCACUUACCAAAUAUGCUUGGGGAGGGGGCAAUGACACAAAAUACGUAUCUGCAUCAACAUUUCACAACACGUGUACAUUGCACUGGCAUUGCAUUGCAGCUGCAUUGGAUUAUAACAACCAUAGUGUCCUUUGGGUAGAGAGGCUGUUGAGAUCCAAAAUAUUAAUCAAUAAACACUCACUCCUCCCCUUUUCCCAUCCUCCGCCUCCCGUCCUAGCGAUAUAUUCCAAUAUUUUAACUAGCUUUCUUAAUUUUUUCGAAAGAAUUAAAUGGAAUCUUCUAAGAUAUAGUAGAGGCUUGCUAAUUUUAGAUUACCAUUUUUAACACAAAAACGAAAAUGAUAUGAAGAUAAAUUACCCAAAACUAAAGGUGCUAAAAACUCUAGAAAUACAAUCAAUUCAACUUAAGUUUACAGGAAAUAAUAGCUAACGAGGUUAGCUUGUGGGACACGUUGGUCUACCGUGGAGAGUAAGGUGACAAGAGCCACAAGUAACCUCUGACAUUAAAGUAAAUAUUAAACAAGAUAGCAUCGGUAAGCUUUGUAAAUCUCGUCUCUCCCCAUUUUCUCUUUCUUCUAUCUCUCUUCCUUUUUCUUCUCUUAUCCCCUCUUUCUCUUCUUCAUCUUCGACCCUAUUGUUCUCUAUGAAUAAUCUGCUGAAGGUAUGUAUAUAUGCAUUUUAUCAUGAAUUGUUCUCAUACAAUUCUUAAAUUGCAGUAUUGGAGCCACUUUUGGUCUUAAAUUGAUCAAUCGACUGUUUUCCUAAAUUGAUUCGCUUUGCGAUAUUGAAUUUGGCAUAUGAGUGGUGCAAAAUCCAUAUUUUGAUAUGACAUGUGUAAGAGAUUUUAAAAAUAGUUUGGUUAGUCCUCCAUAAUAUGGUCUUUUGAGGAAUGUUCUAAAAAGACGUGCCUAGGUGCAUUUUCAAAAAAUGCCCUGCAUAUGGGUAAAGCGUGGAAAAUGCGAUAACUCCUCAUUUAAUUUUCUAAUGCAAGGCUAGGCACCAAAAGUGUAAUACAUUUAUUAAUUGAAACUGAAAAGUUAAACCCAAAAAGAAAAAAAGAAAAAAAAAGAUAAAGAAAAUAGAUGGGCAGGCGGUGGAAAACACGCAGAGAGAAACAAAUCCAUUUGCCUACACAUACAAAAACAUGCAGAGAGAAACGGAAACAGGGAGAAACAAAGAGAAGGAAGAAGAAAAAAAAGAGAAGGAGAAAAAGGAAAAAAAGAAAAAAGAAAAGGAAAACUCGCUAACAUGUUAGAAAAUAAGUUUUUUUACUAUUAGGCUUGAAUUUUUCGAAGUUAAAGGUAAGUAAAAAGUUACUUAUGAUCAAGUUAUUUUAAUUUUAUAAUUUUUGAUUGUUAGAUUAAAUUUAAUUUUAUUAAAGGGGUUAAGUAUAAUAAACUAUGAAGUUGAGUAAAAUGAAAGAAAAUUAGUUUUAAUGAUUAACGAGAUUUUAGAAAUAGCUUAAAUAUGAAAUGAUUAAGUUUGGGUAUCGCCUUCUUAAUUAGUAAAAUUACUUAAAAUAGUUAAUUGUUGAUUUAAAAAUUAUAUCAUAUUUCAGGCAGCGAUAUUGAUAUCGGGACAGCUUACCAACCGAGUUGAUUUUGCGAACAUAGUUCUAUUAGUGGAAAAAUAUAAAUAUUUUUAAAGUAUUUAUAAAUUAAGUAUAUUAUCAAAAUAUGUGCAAUUAUGUAUUCGAUUUUAUGAUGAUUACAGAAAUUUCUUUCAUUAUGAUUUAUGUGGAAUUUCAAAGAUUUCUUGUGGUAUAUUUAUGACUUGAUAUGUGAAACAUAUGUGAUGUUGAGAUUAAUCAGCAAAGUGCCCGUGAUUAUAUACUUUUUAUAGUUCACAGAGGGGACUUGGCAUCCUACACGGAGGAAUCUUGGCCUGACACUGGUCUUGACAUUGUACAUAUAAUUGACAGAGGGGUUUUGGCCAUGUUCUAGAAUUGAUUACCAGAGGUUUUGAGAUCCACUUCCGUUCACAGAGGGAGCCAAAGGCCCGUGGCGAAAAUUCUUAGCCCGAGGGACGGACUACAUAUUUCAGUCAGAGGGUAUAUUUUGGUGGAUUUUUCAGUACGUUUGAUGUGAUGAGAUUAUAGCGUGGUUAUUAGUUGAUAUUUAUAUCAUGAUUUU